rnacentral:rRNA from 1 species
UACGUAGGGUGCAAGCGUUGUCCGGAAUUAUUGGGCGUAAAGAGCUCGUAGGCGGUCUGUCGCGUCUGGUGUGAAAAUCCAGGGCUUAACCCUGGACCUGCAUCGGGUACGGGCAGACUAGAGUGCGGUAGGGGAGAUCGGAAUUCCUGGUGUAGCGGUGAAAUGCGCAGAUAACAGGAGGAACACCGGUGGCGAAGGCGGAUCUCUGGGCCGUAACUGACGCUGAGGAGCGAAAGCAUGGGGAGCGAACAGG